rnacentral:rRNA from 1 species
CCCAGACUCCUACGGGAGGCAGCAGUGGGGAAUAUUGCACAAUGGGGGGAACCCUGAUGCAGCGACGCCGCGUGGGUGAGGAAGUACUUCGGUAUGUAAAGCCCUAUCAGCAGGGAAGAAAAUGACGGUACCUGACUAAGAAGCCCCGGCUAACUACGUGCCAGCAGCCGCGGUAAUACGUAGGGAGCGAGCGUUGUCCGGAAUUACUGGGUGUAAAGGGAGCGUAGGCGGGACGGCAAGUCAGAUGUGAAAACUGAGGGCUCAACUUUCAGACUGCAUUUGAAACUGCUGUUCUUGAGUGAAGUAGAGGUAAGCGGAAUUCCUAGUGUAGCGGUGAAAUGCGUAGAUAUUAGGAGGAACAUCGGUGGCGAAGGCGGCUUACUGGGCUUUUACUGACGCUGAGGCUCGAAAGCGUGGGGAGCAAACAGGAUUAGAUACCCUUGUA